UAGCAGAGCGUGGUAUCGAUCCAUGGACCUUCUGGGUUAUGGGCCCAGUACACUUCCACUGUGCUACUCUUU
rnacentral:tRNA from 1 species